CCCUGGUAUGGAAAAUGGAGGGGAGAAUAAAGGAGGGAGGGAUAAAGAAGGCAUACCAAAUUAAUGAGAUGGUUCUACUGUCCAGGGGUGUAUUGGCUAUCUACUCUGAGUAACAAAUUACUCCAAAAUUCAGUAGCUUAAAACAAUAAAUACUUAUUAUCUCAUUGUUUUGGUGGGUUAGGAAUCUUUUGCUGGAUGCCUCUUGAUUCAUGAUCAUGAGGGUCUCUCGUGAUCAAGGUAUUACUAGUCAUCCAAAUCCAGUCAUCCCUGUAUUUGAUUUAGGGUGAAUUUGAUUCCACUCACAUGGUUGUUGGCAGAGACAUUAUUUCUUUUCACAAGGGCUUUUGCAGACUUCUCAAAACAUGGAAACCAGAGUCUUUUUAUAAUAUUAGGUUCCAUGAUUUUUGCCAUAUCUGAGUGAGUCACUAAGUCUAGGCUGUACCCAAAGAGAAGAGAAUGCACGAGAGGAUUAGUAUAGGAGGUAAGGUUUGGAGAGCCAGUUAGAGACUGCUCACCCUGAUUCUAGUGAGAGAUUUCUACCAAAAUCUAUACCAGGAGGUACUGGGAUUACCUUGGACCUCUGUCAGCCUGAUGGGCUUCCCUCCUUCAAAUGCUGCUGGAAGGUGGGCACUGCCAGUUAGUGGUUUUUAUGUUUCCCUUUUCUUGGUCUAAGAUGAGUUUCUAUAUUGGAACUAUGGCUGAAGUCUGUGAAGCUGUUUCCUAAAAUUACAUUUGUGUUUUGAGCAUUUUAUAUAAAGAGAGUGAGGCUACAGUGAACCAAAAAGUUUAAAAGCCACUAGUCUAAGUUAAUGUUGGACUUUCUGUUUCGUCUUGGUUCAAAGAAGAUACCAACCAGAGAAUGGAUAGAUUAUAAUCCAAUAAUCAGUUAGCUAUUCUCCCGUUAAAGGGAAUUAAGAUUAUUCCCAGUUCACUUUGGAUGGUAUUUUGGACAUUGCCAUGCUCUUAAAUCACAGAGCACAUUCAUACAAAAAAGUUUACUUCCAUAGUUGGGAGGAAAUCACACCAAAUAUGCUUUUUAGGGAAAUAGUACUGUUAGGUAAUUAACCAGCCAUGAAUGGGUGAGCCCGGAAAGAACAAUGAAGGGCAACUGAAAACCACAGGGAGGCUUAUCUGAAAGAUAAAUAUCUGGAAGAUGGAAUUUGGUAUGUGAAAACCUCUACCAGCCAUAAUUACAUACACUAAGAAAAAUUAAGAUCAUGUCACACCCUACUAGGUGAGAUAGCCUGGAACACUCCCUUAUCACCAAAAUUAUGUCACAGCCCUCAAUUACCCCAAACAUGACCAUCACAAAGAAAGCUUGCUAAAAACUAUUCAAAGGGUAGUAAAUUGAUAAAGGGGCAGGAAAUUGAAGCAAAAACAGGGGAACUCAAUUACCUUAUCAUCCUCUGUUCAAGGUGGUCUGUGCAGUUCCUAUACUGUUAGUCAGAAGUCAAGAGGUAGACCUAGGUAGGACUCUGGAAAUGUCCUUGGGAUCCCCAAUAAAACUUGAGGGCAGGAGGGGCAUGCUGUCCUUCUCUUUGUGAGGAUCCAUUCUCUCCCAUGAGAGUGUCCCUUUUCC
rnacentral:lncRNA from 1 species